UACGUAGGGGGCGAGCGUUGUCCGGAAUCAUUGGGCGUAAAGAGCGUGUAGGCGGCCCGGUAAGUCCGCUGUGAAGUCGGGGGCUCAACCCUCGAAUGCCGGUGGAUACUGUCGGGCUAGAGUGCGGAAGAGGCGAGUGGAAUUCCUGGUGUAGCGGUGAAAUGCGCAGAUAUCAGGAGGAACACCAAUUGCGAAGGCAGCUCGCUGGGACGUAACUGACGCUGAGACGCGAAAGCGUGGGGAGCAAACAGG
rnacentral:rRNA from 1 species